UUAUGUAUAAAGAUAAGACUAAUGUAAUCAUGCAUAUUAGAUUUAGUGAAAGUUAUGUUUGAAAUUAGUGAAGUAGGCUCUGGGAAAUUUGCGUGCUGUGGUGAUAUAAGGAUGGAUUGAUUUAUACUUGAUUAUUUUGUUUGUUUGUGUUGUUGUUAUAGGAAAUUUUGAAAUUGCGGUAUGCUAUAGAAACAGAGGAUACUCUGCCGAAUUUUUAAAAAAAAUUAUAAGACUAGAACAUAAUAAUGAUAGAUUCAUCUAUGCUUGAUUAUUGUGUUUGUUUUAAAUGGUUUUAUAGGUAAUUUUUAAAUUACGGUAUGCUAUAGAAACAGAGGAUACUCUGCCGAAUUUUUAAAAAAAUUUAUAAGACUAGAACCGAAUAAUGAUGGAUUCAUAUAUGCUUGAUUAUUGUGUUUGUUUGUAUUGAUUUUAUAGGUAAUUAUGAAAUUACGGUAUGCUAUAGAAACAGAGGAUACUCUGUCGAUUUUUUUAAAAAAUUUAUAAGACUAGAACCUAAUAUAAGUUUUUUUCUAACUUAUUAGGAAUUGAAUAUUGUUAUUAGUAUGGAUAAAUCAUGGAUGCUUGAGAGGAGAGAAACAUCACAAUUUCAAGAUGGAUUCAACAAACUUUUAGAGUUUUGCCUAAAGAAUUGUAGUGAUCCACAAAAAAUUCGUUGUCCUUGUAUCGAUUGUGGUAAUGGAGUAAAGGGGAAUAUUACCAUGAUAAAGGAUCAUGUAUUUUGUUGGGGAUUUGAUAUGAGUUAUAGUAAAUGGUAUUGGCAUGGAGAAUUAUUAAAUGAUGACCCAUAUCCAUUAGGUAGGCGAGAUGUAGAUGAUUUUGAGAGUAAUGAUUUUGAUGAUCAUCCUAUAGAAUUGCUUGAUGAAGCACAAGAAGAGUUUUUUCAUAAUCCAGAAAAAUUUGAUAGUAUGGUUAGAGAUGCAGACAGACAGUUGUUCAGUGGUUGCAAUAAACUAAGAUUACCCACAAUGGUUAAAUUUUAUAACAUAAAAGCAAAAAAUGGAGUUAGUGAUAAGUGUUUCAGUCAAUUUUUAGUUGCUUUCAAGGAGAUUUUGCCGCUAGAAAAUUGUUUUCCGGAGUCUACAUAUGAAGUAAAGAAAACAUUAAGUUUGAUAGGGUUGAAGUAUGAGAAGAUUCAUGCAUGUCCGAAUGAUUGUAUUUUAUAUCGUAAGGAGUAUGCAGACAUGGACGCUUGCCCAGAAUGUGGUUUAUCACGGUACAAACCUAACAAAAGUAAAGAGAUUAGGAAACUUAUUCCUCAGAAAGUGCUAUGGUACUUACCUUUGAUUUCGCGGCUAAAGCGAUUAUAUCGAAGUGCAGAACACUCUAAGAACUUAAUAUGGCACGAGACUGGACGAGUGAAAGAUGGUAAACUCCGGCAUCCUGCAGAUUCACAGGCCUGGAAGAAGGUAGAUUAUAUCAAUCCAGAAUUCAAAAAUGAACCAAGACAUCUUUGUCUUGGUUUAGCUGCUGAUGGAGUAAACCCGCAUAGAUCUCUUAGUAGUAGGCAUAGUUCAUGGCCUGUCUUCCUGGUUAUGUACAAUCUUCCUCCUUGGUUGGUGAUGAAAAGGAAGUUCAUGAUGCUUUCAUUAAUGAUUUCAGGCUCAAAACAACCAAGACAUGAUAUCGAUGUUUACUUGGCACCAUUAAUUGAUGAUUUGAAAGCGUUGUAUUUAAUGGUGUUGAGGCAUAUGAUGGUUUUAAAAAAGAAGUGUUUAAUUUGAAAGCAGUGUUGUUAUGGACUGUUAAUGAUUUUCCAGCAUAUGGUAACCUAUCAGGUUUAAGCACAAAAGGUUACCAAGCUUGUCCAAUUUGUUGCACCAACACAAGGGCCCGUCGCUUGUCAAAUGGACGCAAAAUGUGUUAUAUGGGUCAUAGACGAUAUUUGCAUUUAAGUCAUCCUGACAGAAAUAAAAAAAAAACAUUUGACGGUACUGUGGAACGAGACAUUGCUCCUUUGCCAUUGUCAGGUGAGCAAAUUCUUAAGGAAGUAGAAAAAGUUGACUUUAGGUAUGGGAAGAAGAAUAAAAACAAAAAAGUCAAUGGAUGUUUUCAAAGAAAAUCAAUUUUCUUUCAACUUCCUUACUGGAAAGAUUUACUCGUUAGACAUUGCUUGGAUGUCAUGCACAUAGAAAAAAAUGUAUGUGAAAGUAUAAUCGGUACAUUACUUGAUAUCCCAGGUAAAACCAAAGAUGGUUUGUCUAGUCGUUUAGAUCUUGUUGAAAUGGGUAUAAGACACCGCUUGGCACCUGAAGAAAAAGGGGCUCGCACAUAUUUGCCUCCUGCUUGUUUUACAUUGUCUAAAGAAGAGAAGCAAGUCGUAUGUCAAUCAUUGGCAGGGAUGAAAGUGCCUGAUGGUUACUCAUCGAAUGUUCGAAACUUGGUGUCUAUGGAAGAUUUGAAGUUAAUUGGAAUGAAAUCACAUGAUUGUCAUAUAUUAAUGCAACAAUUACUUCCAAUUGCCAUUCGGUCAGUUUUACCAAAAAGAGUUAGAGAUAGUGUGACAAGUGUGUGCAUCUUCUUUAAUCAACUAUGCGGAAAAGAAUUGGAAAUGAAGAAGUUGAAUGCAUUGCAUGAUGAAAUAGUUGAAACUUUAUGCAAGCUUGAAAAAUAUUUUCCACCAUCAUUUUUUGACAUCAUGAUACAUUUGAUGGUCCAUUUAGUAAGAGAAGCCAAGUUGUGUGGGCCAGUUUGGGCGAGAUGGAUGUAUCCAUUUGAAAGGAAUAUGAAGGUGUUGAAAGGAUAUGUACGUAAUCACCAUCGCCCUGAAGCUUGUAUGGUUGAGUGUUAUUUAGCUGAAGAAGCUGUGGAAUUUUGUUCAGAGUACAUGGUUGGAAUCGACACAAUCGGAAUUAGCAAACCACGGAAUAACUCGGAUGGAGUUGAUAGAAGAUUACGAGGGAAAGGAACAGUAGUGACCAUAUCUCGUGCAGAACUAGAUCAAGCUCAUUUAGUUGUGUUGGAAAACAAUCCCGAAGUUCAACCAUAUAUAACGUAAGUUAUAGAUUUAAUAAACAUUAUGCUCAUUUUUAUGUAUAAUUGAAGUUUUAAUAUGUUGUACUUUGUAUUGUAGUGAGCACAUGGAGUUAUUACAAUCAAUGAUUCCCAACAAGGUUAAAAAUAAACAGAAAUGGAUUAUAGAUGAGCAUAAUAAAACAUUUAGUCGAUGGUUGAAAAAUAUUAUUCUAGCAAGGUUGGGAGAAGAAAACCAUGGAGUGUCGACAGAGUUAAAACACAUAUCAUUUGGACCAAGUGUUCAUGUAAUAAAGCACAAUGCUUACAUUGCUGGAGGAAAAAUAUUUCACACAAAGUCACGAGAUGAUGCUCGAAUGGUUCAAAAUAGUGGAGUAAGUAUUGUGGCAGAAGCAGUGCAUUUCGUUAGUGCAAAAGACAAUAAUCCAGUUGCUGGUACUAUGGCAUAUUAUGGGGUUGUUGAAGAAAUAUGGGAGCUUGAUUAUUCCUUAUUUCAAAUUCCUCUGCUCAAGUGUUCUUGGGUGGACAACAAUGUUGGGGUUAGAAUUGAUGAACUUGGAUUCACUUUGGUUGAUUUAAGUAAGAAAGGUCACAAGAAUGAUCCUUUCAUCAUGGCUACCCAAGCAAAACAAGUGUUUUACAUAACUGAUCCUGUUGAUGAUAAAUGGUCAGUUGUUUUACGAACCCCGAAAAGGCAGUUUAUAGAAGAUGAAAAAGACGAAGAAAACGAUGAUUUGUUCCAUGACAAUUUUAUUGUUGGACAACCAAUACAUGAGCAAGUUGAGAAAAUCCAUGAUUUCCAUGAAGAUGAUGAUGAUGAUGGGGAAUACAUUAGAAAUGAUAUUAGAGACGGAAUAUGGGUAGAUUGUGGAUCAACCAAGAAAAGAAAAAAGAAAAGAAAAUGUGUCCAAUGACAAUUUCUGAAGGGGAGAACACACCAAAUAGGCGAGGCCCAACAAAGAAGAACAAUAUCAAUAAUAAAAAAGCUAAGGGAAUAAAGAGAAAUAUUCAGUUUAAUGAUAAAGUUCAACCUAUAGGGAAAGCAUAUAGUGAGAUGCAAUCGUACCUUGGAUGUUGUAUGUUGUAGAAAACUGAACUAGGUGUGGCAGAUGUAGAACGGUACCAAGUAUGGAUAAGAGCACGAGAAAAGAGGAAGGUUCUUGUCACAGAUUUGGACAAACAAAUUGAAGCAAGAAUUAAUGAGCUGAAAGAAAAAGUUAGUAGUGGAGAAAUCAUUGCAAAGGGUCGGAAUGACAUAUUAACGCAAGCUUUAGGGACACCUAAGCACCCAGGGCGUGUUAGAGCACUUGGAUAGUUUGCGAAGAUUUCGUCCGUCUUUGGAAGAAAACCAAAAAUAGCAACAGAAAUGGCUGAUGUUGUUAGUAAGAAAGAUGCAGAAAUUGCGAGGCUCAGAGCAGAACUUAAAGCUUUAGAGGAGGAAAAAGCUAAACAAGCAGGUGGGAUAGAUGAUAUGGAUGAACACGACAAUGAUGACGAGCAGAGCGACGAAGAAUACCACACACCAUACAUGCGGGAUGACACACCGUACAUGCAGGAUGUGUUACUUUGUUCGGAUAAUAUUCAUAAUGUGGUGGCAGAGGGUGUUAUCAUUGAUGGGGUGGGUCCACUGACUAUUCAUGGUGUUCAACUGACAGACGAAUACGCGAGGGUGCGAGUCACCAAAAUGUUACAAGAGGAUGCUAAAAUCCCAUGUUCUGUUGGGGAGAUACACUAUGUUCGAGAUACUUAUGACACAUUCCUUCCUUGGCCAAAAGAUUUAAUUAUGACUGACCAGGUGUGCCCCUACUAUAAAGCUGUUUGGCACUCAUUGAAUGUUCCUAAGCACUGAUUCAUGCUGUGGCAAAUAGUGAAUUCCCAGCUUCUUACCAGGGACAAUUUGGUUCGUUUUCAUCUUGAUUUGAUCACUUUGGAUUGCCCUGUCUGUGGUAUCAGCCCAGAAUCUCAUGAUCAUCUGUUCUACAGAUGCAGUUUAUCUUCUCAAAUUGUUGACCAGAUUUUUGAUUGGUUAGGAGUGGCUGCUUGGCCUAAAGAUUUCAGAGGUUGGGUUAACUGGAUGAGCAUGAGGAUGACCGGUUUGGUGCACUGCAUCAGGGUCACUGUCCUGGCAGCUGUCAACUACUAUAUUUGGCUUAAUAGGAAUCAAUGCCUGUUUGAAGGUUGUUCCAGGGUCCUCUAAGAAAGAAACCUCCUAUGUCAAAAAGUUCAUCCAAGGAUAUGUCAAAACCUCCUAUGACUAGCCCGCAUCUGUCAUCAGCUGGGUCUCACGUCAAUCCAGAAAACACUCUGACCGAAGGCCAACCAUUUGCCGAUCACAUCAUGAAUCGCAUCCAUGUUAGCCUUCAAUUUAUGGUGAGAGAAUUUUGCAGAGUUAAGGGAAUAAACUCAGUCGCCUCCAUUCCAGUGGACCCAACAUUCAUGAAUCGCGAGUCAAUAUUCCUAACUUCAGAGGAUGUGGAACAAGUUUCUACCUUGCAUAUGAUUGGAGGCUCAGCAAUGAUAUUCGGAUUAAGAUGCAUUUGGGAGUCCCUAUUUCCAAAUCAGCGUGUCUAUUACAAGUUUUAUGACAUUGAACGUCUUAGCAUUAAUAAUGUUAACGAUGUAGAGCGAUCAACCAUUGACUUGGCGAAUUGGUUGAUGACCAUGGAUAGAGUUGGUCAACUUUACUUUAUACCUUGGAACAUACGGGAACAUUGGAUGUUGGUGAUUGCUAUGCCAAAAGGAAAAAUCGUGUUCUUAGAUCCAUUGAAAUCACACAAACAUCCAGAAGAAAUUGAUUCAAUGAUAAUGAGUGCAUAUUAUAGAGCUUCUUCCAAUGCAUUACUCGGCAAUCCCACAAAGAUAUUCAAUGUUACAUGUCCAAGACAACCACAAAGUCAUGAAUGUGGUUUUUAUGUCUUGAAGUACAUUAGAGAUCUUGUACGGGCAUCAAAUGCAAUGACUACCCUAAAAGAAAAAUUUGGUGGGAAGACGCAAUAUUGUGAGAUUGCAGACCUCUUGCCAAUCCAACACGAAUGGUUAGGCAAAUUGAUGACAUACAUUUAUCAGUAAGCCUAUUUUUGUUUAGUUGUAAGUUUUGUCUUUUGUAAAUGUAUUAAUGUUAAGGCUAGUUAUCUUACUUAAGUACUUGUAUUUUAUAUGCUUAUGUACAACAUUUUUAAUUAAUAAAAGUUAUCAUAUUUUCAUUCAAAAAAAAU